GUGCAUAUGGCAGUUUGACUGACUAACACCGCGCGCGAUACGCCACGGUACAAAGUCCAGCAAGUACCGCACGUCCAUCUACAACCCGCCGCAAAUAUACAUUAAGUCAUCUCCGUGACAUCGUUCGAUACACAUCGGCCUUUUUCUCAUCGACAGUGCCUAUCUUGUGUCUGUUUUACUUUAGCUGGUGUUUUUCUAUUUAGUUAUUGUGUACACUAUUUAUAAUAACUUUAAGUGCUUUUAUAUAUAUCUUAUGUUUAACAUUAUUGGAAUAAACGGCACCGCACAAACUAUACCGUGUCGACUACUUUAUUUUAUCUGUCCUCAUCACAACGCUUAAAUCCUGUCAUUCUGUAUAAGACUCCAAAAAAGUUUUGUGCAAUGCUGCUUUUAAAAAACAGUCUAGAAUCACUUUUGCCAAGUCAACUGCUUUAUGGAACAAACAAGGGUGCUCGACCAAGUCAACUGAUUUAAUCAAACAAAAUCUUGACGUUUAUUUGAUAACACCCAACGAGGAGACGCGUUGGAAUUUAUUAUAUGAUGCGGUGGUGUUGCUGAAUAAAUUAAUUAAAAGUAUACAGAUUAUGGCCAAAUUCAUGAUGAUUUAUCUAGCUUCUCUACAAAAUGUUCAUGAGGAAAAGUCAACAGUUAGUGAUGAAAUUGAUAGAUUCUUGGGUAUAUCUACAGCAUAAACAUUAGAAUGUUUACAUAAUUUACUCACAAUUAAAAAAUUUUUCAUUAAACACAAUACUCCUCUACCUAACAGUGCAUCAGUUGAAAGAGAUUUUAAUGUUGGUGGUACUACAAUCACUAAAAAAAGACUAACAUGUCUGAUAAACAUUUUGAAUAAAUGUUUUUAAAGUGUGUAACUAACAAAUUUUUUAUUAAAAAAAAUAGCUUCAAAUUUUUUUUUUUGUAUUUGAAGAUUUUUUUAAAUACAUAAUUAUUAAUAGCAGUUGGGUGGUAAUUUAAAUACUUUUUUUGGAAAUUAUUUGAGUAAUUACUUAAAUAUUUAUUUUAAUAACUUAUUUUGAUAAUUUUGCCUUUUUUAAAUUAAGAAAAGCUGCUUUGAAUUUUUAAACUAGCUUAAAUUUUUUAAACUUUUUAACUAGAAAUUCAUGUAGUGUACGAUGGCUAUGUCAAAUAUAAUAGUCUUUUACGAUUGAAGUUUGAAUCCCACCCGUUCCAAAAAAUGUAUUUAUCUUUUUUUUUCAUAACUCUUUUUUGAGAUGGAAUAAAAAUUUAAUGUUUCUUAGAUUUUUAUCUUAUUUAGAUUGAAUAAUUUAAAUAAAUAUCAAAGAUCCCAUAAUUGUAGUCUCCCCUUGUGAGAAAAAAUUUUUUUAUUCAUAUUUAAAUAUUUUACUACAUGGAUUUUUUUUUUAUGUAUGUCAUUCUUUUUCUACGCUCUCAUUUGACUCAUUUUAAUGACCAAUACAUCCAAAGAUCACAAUUUUAAUCUUGCUGAAUUUAUUAUCACCAAAAAUUAUAAAAAAUUAUUU